rnacentral:pre_miRNA from 1 species
ACAAAAUGUUUUCGAUGUAUAGUUAGCAUUGGUCGUUUCUAUGCUUUUUUGUGAUCAUAUACCGAUCGAUGCUCGCUUUAUUUCGAGUCACAU